AGGGGUAGGGUUAGAGUUAGGGUUAGGGUAGGGUUAGAGGUAGGGGUAGGGUGGAGUUAGGGGUAGGGUUAGGGUAGGGGUAGGGUUAGAUUAGGGUAGGGUUAGGCAUAGGGUUAGGAAUAGGGUUAGGGUUACUCUACCCCUACCCUCACCCUACUCCAACCACUAACCCUACCCCAACUCUUAACCCUGCCCCAACCACUACCCCUACCCCUAACGCUACUCCAACCACUAAUCCUACCCCAACCCUUAACCCUACCCCUAACCCUAACCCUACUCCAACCACUAACCCUAUCCCAACCACUAACCCUACCCCAACCCCUAACCCCAACCCUCUCCUGUUUUUGCCACUUUUCAGAA